AUUGAACGCUGGCGGCAGGCCUAACACAUGCAAGUCGAGCGGAUGAAGGGAGCUUGCUCCUGGAUUCAGCGGCGGACGGGUGAGUAAUGCCUAGGAAUCUGCCUGGUAGUGGGGGAUAACGUCCGGAAACGGGCGCUAAUACCGCAUACGUCCUGCGGGAGAAAGUGGGGGAUCUUCGGACCUCACGCUAUCAGAUGAGCCUAGGUCGGAUUAGCUAGUUGGUGGGGUAAAGGCCUACCAAGGGGACGAUCCGUAACUGGUCUGAGAGGAUGAUCAGUCAACACAGAACGUGAACACCGGCCCGGACCCUGAGGGACGGCACAGUGGGGAAUAUUGGACAAUGGGCGAAAGCCUGAUCCAGCCGUGCCGCGUGUGUGAAGAAGGUCUUCGGAUUGUAAAGCACUUUAAGUUGGGAGGAAGGGCAGUAAGUUAAUACCUUGCUGUUUUGACGUUACCAACAGAAUAAGCACCGGCUAACUUCGUG
rnacentral:rRNA from 1 species